rnacentral:lncRNA from 1 species
AAAGGGGAGUAAAUCUUCAGAGCAAGGAGGGAGGAUCAAAGAAUAAGUUCGUGUGAACCGAAGAAGUGACCCUUUCCAGUGGAACGUGACUUUACUCUUUCCGAGCACCCAACGCAUUUUGGAGACAGUGAGUUUGCUAGAGAAUCAAAAUAAAGAAGCUACUCUGCGUUCCAGAAAAUCACGUGAUUCUCUCUCUCUCUCUCUCUCUCUCUCUCUCUCUCUCUCUCUCCCUUCCCCCCCAACUUCUCCCUCCCUCCCUAUCUCUUUCUCUCCUCCCUCCCUCCUGCCAGGCUGUGCACCCCAACCUUUACACCGUCAUCGCAGCCCCUGCAGCGUGUUGCGAGGUGCAAGUCCUUGCACACCUGGGUGAAAUUCGUGGGUGGCGGAGACAAAACGGCAGAGAACCAGGCGACCGGAGACAGAGCCGCAGAGUCGCCCUGGUCCCGCCCACCGCCCUCUCCGCACUCCCGCUCAGCCCCCUCCCUGCUUCCUGUCCUCUGGACCCGGCAGAUGAGGAAAACAAAAGUCCGUGGGGGAUCAGUGCGAAAUGAAAUUCAGGACCAGAAUCUGAAGACCCUAAGGCAGAAGCACGAGUCCUUUGGGAAGACGACCCUUGGAAACGAAUUGACUGCUUUCCUUAAUUUUGGCACUCUGAGCUCUGGAUCUCUCUGGAUCGCCCGGAGCGGCCUUCAGUUCUGCACCUGAGGAAGUUAAGCCGGCGGUGGAAAGUUCCCUGGGCCCAGCUUGCUCACCAACCGCCCGAACCUCCCUCACCCGCAUCGGAAAGGAAAGUGUGUUUGCUGCCCUGUGAACCAAGUAUGCAGCGAGGAAUGCUACCUUUUAUUUAUUUUUUUUUUAAAGAUUUAUUUAUUUAUUCGAUCCCAGAACGCCGGGAUCAUGCCCUGAGCCGAAGGCAGACGCCCAGCCGCUGUGCCACCCAGGCGCCCCGAGGAAUGCUACCUUUUAGGAUGAAUUCACAGAGCAACUGAACUGAGCUGAACUUUUUUUUUUUUUCUUUCGUUCUGAAGGCCUCUGGGGAAGUUGAUAAAGUUAUGAUUUAUCGUUUUGCAAGGGACAUUCCAAAACAGCAGUUUGUUUAAUUUUAAUUUUUUUUUUUUUUUUAAAGACAAGUAAAGGUCACAGAGACCAACUCAACUUUUAAUCUCAUUUCAGGAGGGUUGUUUUGAAAAGAGGGGUAUUUAGGGGCUCCUGGCUGGCUCCCUCGGUAGCGCCUGUGACUCUUGAUUUUGGGGGUGCUGAGUUCAAGCCCCACCUUGGGCACAGAGGUUAUUAAAAAAAAAAAAAAGGAUAUUUAAAGAAAUUGGGAGCCUUUUAUUUGUCAAGAAUAGUUUCAAAAAAUAACUGAAACUAUAUAAUAAUAUCUCAAUACAUUCUGAGUGUUAAAAAAAUCACUAUGUAGUAAAAGGUUUAUGGAAAAAAUGGAUUUCAGAAGGGACAUCCAAAAUAAUCAGUGGGCAUCGUCAUCAAACAUAAUUAAAGGCCGGUUAAGGAAACAGGGUGAUAAGUUUUAGAAACAUCAGAAUCCUAAAACCAAAUUCUCAGUUCUGGUCCACAGCUUCCUAUAUGCCUGAGCUCGUUUUUUGUUUUUUUUUUUUUAAUUGAAUUUUUAGCAACCAGCUGAGGCCUCUGCUUCCUUCAAGUAUGGGACAAUCCUAGUUACUUCCUCCUACUCCUUCCCUCCCGUGGGCCCAGAGGGCAAAAAAUUUCCCCCUUUUAAACGCUGAUACCGUGUGAGAGCCACUGCUUUUUCCCCAAGCUGGGGGUAGGCCUUUUCUCAAUUUUCAUAUGUAUCAGUUCCCCCUAUCCCCCACGGCUGCAAAAGCAAGUCUUCGUUCCUAACCAUGGCUUUGCAAACCUUCGCUUGGUUAGAAAGGUCUACCUUCUGCAAAACAGAAAUGGCAUUUUAAGAAUUUUAGUUGGUAGAUAAACACAUCUAAAGGUUGUGAUAGCUCUUGAGAUCCUCAUUCCCAACUUCAUCUUUAAUUGAGAGGUCCAAUCUUAACUAGAACUUAAAUGAAAACUCGAAAUAAAAAAUUAAAAAAAAGAAGAAAGUUCCA